UACGUAGGGUGCGAGCGUUGUCCGGAAUUACUGGGCGUAAAGAGCUCGUAGGUGGUUUGUCGCGUUGUACCGUGAAAACUCACAACUCAAUUGUGGGCGUGCGGGCGAUACGGGCAGACUGGAGUACUGCAGGGGAGACUGGAAUUCCUGGUGUAGCGGUGGAAUGCGCAGAUAUCAGGAGGAACACCGGUGGCGAAGGCGGGUCUCUGGGCAGUAACUGACGCUGAGGAGCGAAAGCGUGGGGAGCGAACAGG
rnacentral:rRNA from 1 species